GCGGGGUGGAGCAGCACGGUAGCUCGUCGGGCUCAUAACCCGAAGGUCGCAGGUUC
rnacentral:tRNA from 1 species